GAUGAAGAACGCAGCGAAAUGCGAUACGUAAUGUGAAUUGCAAAUUCAGUGAAUCAUCGAGUCUUUGAACGCACAUUGCGCCCCCUGGUAUUCCGGGGGGCAUGCAUGUCCGAGCGUCAUUGCUGCCCUCAAGCACGGCUUGUGUGUUGGGCCCCGUCCUCCGAUCCCGGGGGACGGGCCCGAAAGGCAGCGGCGGCACCGCGUCCGGUCCUCGAGCGUAUGGGGCUUUGUCACCUGCUCUGUAGGCCCGGCCGGCGCUUGCCGAUCAACCCAAAUUUUUAUCCAGGUUGACCUCGGAUCAGGUAGGGAUACCCGCUGAACUUAAGCAUAUCAAUAAGCGGAGGA
rnacentral:misc_RNA from 1 species